AGUGAGCGGCAAAGCUCAAUUUGAAUCUAGCACCUUCGGUGUUCGAGUUGUAAUUUGAAGAUGGUAACCUUGGGUUUGGCUCUUGUCUAUGUUCCUUGGAACAGGACGUCAUAGAGGGUGAGAAUCCCGUCUGAUGAGAUGCCCAUUCCUAUGUAAGGUGCUAUCGAAGAGUCGAGUUGUUU
rnacentral:rRNA from 1 species